rnacentral:rRNA from 1 species
GACGAACGCUGGCGGCGUGCUUAACACAUGCAAGUCGAACGAUGAUCCGGAGCUUGCUCCUGUGAUUAGUGGCGAACGGGUGAGUAACACGUGAGUAACCUGCCCCUGACUCUGGGAUAAGCGUUGGAAACGACGUCUAAUACUGGAUAUGAUCACUGGCCGCAUGGUCUGGUGGUGGAAAGAUUUUUUGGUUGGGGAUGGACUCACGGCCUAUCAGCUUGUUGGUGAGGUAAUGGCUCACCAAGGCGACGACGGGUAGCCGGCCUGAGAGGGUGACCGGCCACACUGGGACUGAGACACGGCCCAGACUCCUACGGGAGGCAGCAGUGGGGAAUAUUGCACAAUGGGCGAAAGCCUGAUGCAGCAACGCCGCGUGAGGGAUGACGGCCUUCGGGUUGUAAACCUCUUUUAGUAGGGAAGAAGCGAAAGUGACGGUACCUGCAGAAAAAGCACCGGCUAACUACGUG